GGCAGUGUGGCCAAGUGGUCUAAGGCGCUGGAUUAAGGCUCCAGUCUCCUCAGAGGUGUGGGUUUCAAUCCCACCACUGCCA